AGAGUUUGAUCCUGGCUCAGAACGAACGCUGGCGGCGUGCCUAACACAUGCAAGUCGAGCGAGAAAGCCCGCAAGGGUGAGUAAAGCGGCGCACGGGUGCGUAACACGUGGGUAAUCUGCCCUAGAGUCCGGAAUAACUCGCCGAAAGGCGUGCUAAUGCCGGAUGAGACCACGGGAGCCUCGGCUCCUGCGGGAAAAGGUGGCCUCUGUACACAAGCUAUCGCUCUGGGAUGAGCCCGCGGCCCAUCAGCUCGUUGGCGGGGUAACGGCCCACCAAGGCUACGACGGGUAGCUGGUCUGAGAGGACGAUCAGCCACACUGGAACUGAGACACGGUCCAGACUCCUACGGGAGGCAGCAGUGGGGAAUCUUGCGCAAUGGGCGAAAGCCUGACGCAGCAACGCCGCGUGUGUGAUGAAGGUCUUCGGAUCGUAAAGCACUGUCGCGAGGGACGAAUAAGGGUCGGUCUAACAAGCCGGUCCGAUGACGGUACCUCGAGAGGAAGCACCGGCUAACUCUGUGCCAGCAGCCGCGGUAAUACAGAGGGUGCAAGCGUUGUUCGGAAUUAUUGGGCGUAAAGCGCGUGUAGGCGGCUUAGUAAGUUGGGUGUGAAAGCCCUCGGCUUAACCGAGGAAGUGCGCCCAAAACUGCUUGGCUUGAGUACCGGAGAGGGUGGCGGAAUUCCCGGUGUAGAGGUGAAAUUCGUAGAUAUCGGGAGGAACACCAGCGGCGAAGGCGGCCACCUGGACGGAUACUGACGCUGAGACGCGAAAGCGUGGGGAGCAAACAGGAUUAGAUACC
rnacentral:rRNA from 1 species